AUGCAGGAUGCCGGGGAGGAAAGGAUGCGGCUCCCAAUGAAUCCUCCUACCCGGAAUGACUCGGAAAUAUCUGGGAGUGCAGAGCCAUCCCCACGCACAGGAUGUAAUGCUGCUAGAGUAAAUAUAGAACGGCUGCUGUCAACAAUGAGGAGAGCAAGAGCUGAAGGAAUGCUCUACCACAAAGCACUUGGUGAAUAAUUAUGAAGCUUAUAGGAAAGCCAGGCUCUGGGAAAUGACUGAAAGGAAGUAAACUUCGGAACAACACAGACAUUCAUGCCAGUUGCACAUGGAUAUUCUUCUGUCAGCAGGAUGCAGUUUGCUGCCUACCUGCCUUAAGGCCAGGCUGUAAUAUUCUCCCUCCAUCACUUAAACUCUGCAGUGUUUUUCAAUCUUCCAUCUCCAAAGAGCCCCAUGAACUGGAAAAUGGAAAACGAGUAAAAUCUGGAAUUGGUACUAAGAUAGCACGUGCAAUUGCUCCACACAACGAGAGUCAAGGCUUCUGUUUUGCAUGUAAAUCUUGUACUCUUCAUGGUUAAUAAGAGAAAUUCUAUGAUGAUAGUGUUCACAAAAGCUACAAGAGCACAGACACUGUGUAAUACUUAGUGUGACACUGUAAUUUUCCCCACCUGUUGCACAAACUGUCAAAAGGAAACACAUCCCUUAUUUCACUCUGAAUAAGAUGUGGUAUGUUUGUGGUUUGGGAAACGAUAGCUUGAUUCUCUGUCAGUUGAAACAGCUGGCUGGCCAUGAACCACAGCUGUGGCUGAGACAUCCACAUACCUGCCUUGGCUUUCAGGCUCAGGCAGGGAAGGCUUUGCUCUCUGCACUUGGAUAUUUAGCAUCUGACAGGCCAGGACAUUUGUUUGAACCCAUGGUAACUUUGAAAUGGCAAAUGUGAAGAAAGGAUGUGGCUGAUGAGAAUUCAGAGAUAAAGAAUAGAGGAAUGAACAGGUUGAUGUUUUCUAAGAAACACAUGUUUAUUCAGAAAUUACUCACAGGUGCUGUUCCAAACUAUUAUUGAAGAAUUCAAUAAACUUAGUCUAUGUAAAUUAAUUUUUUUUUUUUGGUGCAAGAAUCUGC